rnacentral:rRNA from 1 species
CCUGUUGAACUCAAUGUUCCGGGCGGCGAUAUUCAGCGGUGGUCGACCCGAAUGGGCCGGCUGCCGUGCACUUAUCAGACCGCAGUAACGGACAUCGCGAUCCAUUACGAUGGUUACACUCCGGCAAUGGCCCCUGGCUCGUGGUGGGCGGCUUUCUAGUAGGGGCGGCACGGCGGCUUCCCUGAGCGAUAGUCUCCGCGACCUUCCUUUGUGAGGGGCGCAGGGCCCGACCGAGUCCGGUGCGCCGCUGGAGCAGUGAUGGAUUGGUAUGAGCGGGGUUCGAGCGUUGUGAUCUGCAGCCGGAGAUCCGAUAAUACACUCGCCCCCGAUCGGUGAUGACGCUUUAUGCAUUGAGGAACCUACGGG